GGUUUAAAGGAUAGCUCUGUCGGUAGAGCAUGAGACUCUUAUUCUCAGGGUCGUGGUUUUGAGCCCCGUGUUGGUCA